rnacentral:lncRNA from 1 species
AGAAAUUAAAAAUGGAUUUGAGUACUUGACUGGGUUAAGAAUAUGGAUUACACUAAUAGACUUCGUUGAUGAUCAUUCCUCGAACUUGAUUAGCCGGUCCCGAAUGCGGAGGCUAAUGAUGUUAGUAAGGUUUGCUAACAUCGGCAUAAUCAUCCCUGAAAACGAGGGAUACUGAACUUGAUUAACUAUUCAGGUGAGAAUAGUUAAUGAUAUUGACCGGUGCUGUCAAUAUCGGCAAUCACACGAAACUUGAUUAGCCGGUCCCGAAUGCGGAGGCUAAUGAUGUUAGUAAGGUUUGCUAACAUCGGCAUAAUCAUCCCUGAAAAUGAGGGAUGCUAAACUUGAUUAACUAUUCGGGUGAGAAUAGUUAAUGAUAUUGACCGGUGCUGUCAAUAUCGGCAAUCACACGAAACUUGAUUAGCCGGUCCCGAAUGCGGAGGCUAAUGAUGUUAGUAAGGUUUACUAACAUCGGCAUAAUCAUCCAUCAGCAUAAUCAUCCCUGAAAAUGAGGGAUACUG